rnacentral:rRNA from 1 species
UACGUAGGGCGCAGGCGUUGUCCGGAAUUAUUGGGCGUAAAGAGCUCGUAGGCGGCUUGUCACGUCGGAUGUGAAAGCCCGAGGCUUAACCUCGGGUCUGCAUUCGAUACGGGCUAGCUAGAGUGUGGUAGGGGAGAUCGGAAUUCCUGGUGUAGCGGUGAAAUGCGCAGAUAUCAGGAGGAACACCGGUGGCGAAGGCGGAUCUCUGGGCCAUUACUGACGCUGAGGAGCGAAAGCGUGGGGAGCGAACAGG